CCUCCGUCUGCUCCCAGCUCCUCCAAGGCCAGCUCCUCCAAGGUCCAGCUCCUCCAAGGUCAAGCUCAUCCAAGGCCCAGCUCGACCGCGUUUCCUCCUAGAAUCCUGAAGGUUUUGCAUGAGGGUAACUUUGCAAGAAAUGCUGCAAGUUGUUUACAUUAAUCGGUGAGUCCGGCCAGCCACAGACCCGACCAUGAUCGUUGAUCUCUUGGGGCGUACGUUGUUUUAUUAAAGAGAUGGAGUGUAUAUACAUUCAGAGGUCAAGAAGGUCAAAUU